UAGUACUAAGUGCCCACUUAUGAUGGAC
rnacentral:sRNA from 1 species